rnacentral:lncRNA from 1 species
GCCCUUGUGUAUUACAUUUGCAUUUCCUGUAUACCUAUCUUGGCUGCUCUAUUCACUACCUUUUUAUACCUAUCCAUUCUUUUUCUCUUUUUUUCUAAAGUUUUGUUCCCUUUGAAGACUCUUGCUCUUAAAACAAGGAGUAUCCAAAUUCAUCACUUAAAAGUCAAUCUUCCUACAGGUUUCAUCAUGGAAUUUUUGAAUCUAUUCUGAUUGCACUAGUUAUCCUUUAGUGAAACUAUUUUUAUUUCACAGACUUAGAGUCUCUCGAACUUGGUAUGCAACUCUGGGCAAAAGCAUUUGAAUGUGUGUUUUUCAUUUUGAUUAAGAAAUGAGAGCACUUUGAAGAUACAUCCAUGAUGCUGGCUACCCGUAAAGAAAAUAAACUGAGUGUCAAUGGAACAGACAGAGAAUCAGAGAACAAAAGAAAGUCAAGAGAUUUACCCAAGGGAGAAUGGUAGCAGAAACAGACUCGGGG